AAACACUCCACUGGAGGCAGGAAAACUAAGUUAAGAAAGAAUAGGAGGAAGUGUGCUGGCCAUUUAGCCAAACAGUCUUUAAUACAUUGAGCUUAAAAGCUAGCAGCUUUACUGUACUGACUUGGAGUAAACAAAUUGCAUUUUUUCUUUGCCCAGUUCUUAACGGGAUUUGGAUAAUGGAGGUGAUAAGAAUAAUCAAAGCAAGAGAAUAAGAGUUUCUCAGUAUUUAAACAUCUCAGAAGGAACCUUGAGCUGAAGAAAACUGCAGGGAAAUUGAGGGAGAACACCAAAUGACCACAUGUCUUCAGAUUAAGAUAAGAAAACUUCUAGAAAAUAACCCCAGCAACUUGACUUUAAUGGAAAAUACACUGGACUGGGAGUCGGGUUCAGUAAUUGAUUCAUGAGAGAUUGCAGCUGGUGACCAUUUGAAACUGAAGACUUGUGAAAUCCCUGCAGAUUACCACAGAAGCCUGUGAGCUUCUCGUUCUAAAUUUAGUCUUCGUGUAAGUUUCACUUACUAUUCCAGCUCUUCAACAGCUCUCUUUGAUGGUGGAUAUCCACUAGAAAAACAUUGGUGUAAUAUUUCUAUGUGAUAACUCAUCUGGGGUGGCUACUAACAUUUAUUAGAGGCAACAUUGGGUUUGGUGAAAACCACAAGCCAGAACUGGAUUCUCAUCUUGGUUCUCCCAUGCAUUAAUCAUAUGACUUUUGGCAAAGGCAUUUAACUGCUUUGAAUUCAUUUUCAUCAUCUGUAUAACAAGGAUAAUGUUACCUGCCUUUGCUAUUCAGACAUAUUCUGGAGAUGGAAUGAAAUAACACAUAGAAAAGAAUUUUUAAUUUAUUAAGUCAUAUGAUCAUAGAAUGAGAACUAGAAGAAACCAUUAUGGGAAGUAUUAAAAAUAAUAAUAUUUAGAAGAUUCAAUACUUUCAAGAUUCUAGGCUAAGCUUGUGUCCAUAGACAUUUGACUUUUUGGAGUGAUUCUAGUGAAUUGACAAGAAGGUAGGCUCUUUGGGGACAAUGUCUUUAUCUAAUAUAUCAUUAUGUUCUCUACUCAGGGAUGUUCUGAGACUUAAACGCAAUAAUGGGUGUAAACACUUUGCAAACUUUAAAGUGUAUUUAUAAAUGCUAGUUGUUGUUGUUGUUGUUAGCCUAUAGUUACCAGGCUUCCAUUCUGGUGGUGAAUUCAUUCUUUGAACCUUCUGCUGCACCAUUGCUGGACUCAGUGU
rnacentral:lncRNA from 1 species